AUACGGAGGGUGCAAGCGUUAUUCGGAAUCACUGGGCGUAAAGGACGCGUAGGCGGGUUGGCAAGUCAGAUGUGAAAUCCUACAGCUUAACUGUAGAACUGCAUUUGAAACUGCUAACCUAGAGUAUGGGAGGGGGAGAUGGAAUUAGUGGUGUAGGGGUAAAAUCCGUAGAUAUCACUAGGAAUACCGAAAGCGAAGGCGAUCUCCUGGAACAUAACUGACACUAAGGCGUGAAAGCGUGGGGGGCAAACAGGAUUAGAUACCCUAGUAGUCC
rnacentral:rRNA from 1 species